CGAAUUUAAGUCUAUUUGAAGUUACAGUCAUCAGCUCAAAAUGUUAGUUUUUCAAGCUUUUAAUUUGGCAUUAUGGAUCGAUUUUAGGAUGCGAGGCAAAAUUGCGAGGCCUGUUUAUUAUCAGCAAAUGUAUGAAUUGCUUCCUCGUAGUAAAUUAUGAAUGUUUGGGAAAUGAUAAUGUAUAUGCUUAUUGCUUCUCUUGUUUAUUUUGAAUCAACUGUGUUUUUUUUCAGGUUAUGCAGAGUUGAAAUGAGAUCGAUUGGUAGCUUUGUACUUGAAAAACCUAUGAAACUGCAUUAAAUACAUUUCACAUUACAGAGGAAAUAGAGGAAGAGACAUCCUACAUCAAGCUGGAAUCAAAGGAUGCCUUGUCAGCACUGAAUUCCCCAGACAUGGGCACACGAUUGAAGCAAAUUAAAUAAGGGUGAUUGCUUCGUCAGCACGGUGUUUCAAGACAUGAGCAGAGGGCUGAAGAGGCCUGAAAGUAAGUGGAUGCCAGGACAGAACUACAGUCCCAGAAUGAUGAUUGUGGAGACGUCUGAUGCCUCAUUGACCCAAUCGAAGACAACAACGGUCAAUAAUGAGGAUGUAGAGAAGCAGAGGAUCGAGGGGGGAGGGGGACUCAAGUCCCCCUCUCUCCUCCUACAGAAAUCCUCCUGGGAUCUGUGUGACAGUAAAAGGCCUGCUACCUGAGGCACCUGGAUAUCAUGAGAGAAAUUCAGCAAGUUUAGCCGUGUGUGUCUCUUCUUCAAAAAGUUCAAUAAAGGAAGUCUCACAGCGCCCUCUAUUGGAAUUUUAAUCGAACACCACUCAUGUCUGAGGAGUGCACAUCUGGCAAGGAUAUUUGAUUUUUGUAUUGAUGUCUUCACAGCCUUUUCAUGCAAAACACAGUGAAAAAAAGAAGAAAACAGAUUUUCAUAGGUUUUCCUUGUAUCAAAGAUACCGAUCUUAGCACACACCAAUGACACCACACACCUGGAGUCGACAAGGUGUAUCACGGCAAUGACAACCAACCUGAUGUCUCCACUACAAUCCUUGAAUGCUUGGUUUCUUUGAUCUCUACAGUACAUUCCAGUAUAGGGAAUUUGACCCUUUCUUUGAAUGUGUUUUUAUUUCUCCUCUUUUUGUUUCGAUAUCAACAGAAUGCAUUGCGUAAAUGUGGACAUGAGAAUGCACGCACAAAUAUUUGAAAAACUGAAAAAAAGAAGCCCAUAUCAAUACUUUUUCACCACCUAUGAGAUGCCAAUAGUCAUCAGCUGUAGGUUUUUAGGGAAGGAAGUACUACCAGUGUGCCCACAAGUGUGAGAUUCACACAGAUGAGAGGACCAAAUGAAAGAGUGGCCACGGCUCUUAAUUAGCCAUCGCAAAGCCAUCGUUAUAGUCAGCCCCAAAGCGUUAUGUCAGCACUGGGGCUGACUAUAAAAAGGAUAAAGCCCCGGAGGGGACUUUAUCCUUUUUAUUGAUUUGUCUCAUCUUUUAGUUUCUUUUAAUUUUUGCCUGAUAUUCACUGAAUGGAAGAGCCUUAUUCAGUACAUGUUUUUGCUUGUAUGUACCUCAUAUAUUUUAAAAUGUCCAUGUCAUCAUGCAUUUCUUUUUACACAGCUGUAUACUAUUGUAUGUACAUAAAACAAAUCAGAGAUCUAAUUAUGUAAAUUUGUCAUUUGUGUAUUUAUGGAAUCACUCUCCAGUGACUUGUUUUUUUUGUUUUUGUUCUGUGUUUUUCUUUGGUAAAACUUUAUAUUUUUCACUUUUUAUUUAAUUGAAUCUGUUUUCUUGCAUCAAAUAAUUUGCUUGUUGAUUUUUAAAAGCAAUAGCAUGCAGAAAAUGGUAUAUAGCACAAUCGUGUAAAUGUUGUUUAAAGUAGUGAAGGGAAAUAUCAAACACUUCUGUCGAUAAAUAGCCGUAAUACAAUUUGUCAAAGGGUUUACAACCACAGUACCAUGUCCAGACGUGCAUGUUAUGUGCAGAUGCAUAAGAGCAUGCAGACAGGUACAAACACACUCACACCAACUCUC
ensembl:lncRNA